UUUUUCUUUUCUUUUUUCUUUUUUUUUCUUUUAAAAUUUUUUGUUUUUUUUUCUUUUUUUUUUAUAACAAAAUAAUGAAAUAAGACAACAACAAAAAUCAAGUCCUAUUAUUUAGUCACCCGGACGAAAUUGGGUGUUGACAACCAUUAUAGUGCAUUUGCUUCCUGGGUUGGAAGGACACUGGAUGUAAGCAUUGUUGGCUGAACCAGUAUAAAAACCAGUGUUUCAUUUCCCUAUCCCUACUCUUUUAUAUUUAAUCGACUAUGAUAUCUGCAUAGUUAAUUGUGAUUUUUCGCUGCACAUAAAUUUCAUUACUUGCCUUUCAAGAAAGACUUGUAAAGUUUUCAACUUUGUUUUAAAGAUUUCAAAAAGACUCUGAUUUUGAAAAUUCACCAAUUCAUCCCCUCUCUUGGUGUAAAACGAAGCCUACCUGUUUUCCAACAGAUAGUCCUUUUCAAAACUGACAUUCUAGUGUAGCUGCAACAUUAGAAGAG
rnacentral:lncRNA from 1 species